GUAGGUGGCAAGCGUUGUCCGGAAUUAUUGGGGCGUAAAGCGCGCGCAGGCGGUUCUUUAAGUCUGAUGUGAAAGCCCACGGGCUCAGCCGUGGAGGGUCAUUGGAAACUGGAGAACUUGAGUACAGAAGAGGAAAGCGGAAUUCCACGUGUAGCGGUGAAAUGCGUAGAGAUGUGGAGGAACACCAGUGGCGAAGGCGGCUUUCUGGUCUGUAACUGACGCUGAGGCGCGAAAGCGUGGGGAGCAAACAGGAUUAGAUACCCUGGUAGUCCACGCCGUAAACGAUGAGUGCUAAGUGCUAGGGGGUUUCCGCCCCUUAGUGCUGCAGCUAACGCAUUAAGCACUCCGCCUGGGGAGUACGGCCGCAAAGGCUG
rnacentral:rRNA from 1 species